CAGUUACUACACAUGACACCCCGAGAAUCGCAGUUCUACGAAGACAUACGGCAGGAGAUUCUAAGGUUCGACUUCUCGGACGACCACUGAAAGAUCACAGCCCUGGCGAUCGCAAAUGGGGGCACAGAUGGGCCCUAUACCUGCCUACCUGGUGGAGUCUGUUUCGGAGCAGUGAUUAUUUCGGUGGGAAUUAUUCCUAUGCUCCCCCCUUCCCUAUAAAGUGUUUUAUGAUUGUUGACCAACAGUUACGAAUUGUUUUGUUUAUGCUUGUGUGUGUGGAUGUGCGUGUUUGUUGUGUGUAGGUGCGCUGGUGAGUGUGUGACAAGUGCGAAAGGUGAUAUCGUAUAAUUUUGACCAUUUUGUUGCUGCACUACACCGCGUACGUUUACAUUUUUAUAAAUCUGUAUGACAAUUGUUUAGUUUUCCUAAUUUUGCUUGCUAAUUCUACCUCUUUACAAACUCGUGGUAAUUAUAUAAGAAGAGAAGUAGUAGACGUGGUUGACUUCAUUCGACCAUUGAGUGCGUUCUGAGUGAACAUAAUUUACAGUAACAAGGAAGGAACAAUAGUGAGUUUGGAUUCCUAUAAGUGGCUCAAUAAACCAUGCAUCUAAA